UCCCUAGUGAUCCAGUGGCUAAGCUUCUGCACUCCCAAUGCAGGGGGCCCAGGUUCAAUCCCUGGUCAGAGAA
rnacentral:tRNA from 1 species